CGCAACUUGCGCCCUCUGGUAUUCCGGAGGGCAUGCCUGUUUGAGUGUCAUGAAACCUCAAUCCCCCAGGGUUCUGCUCUGUUGGGUGAUUGGAUUUGGGCGCUGCCGGCCUGGCCGGCUCGCCUCAAAGGCGUUAGUGGGAACAGCAGACCCGAUCGGCGUAAUAAGUUUCGCUGAGGAGGUUUGCGAGGGCCCGCUCACAACCCUCUCCUUACGGAGAACACUCUUUUGAUCUGACCUCAAAUCAGGUAGGACUACCCGCUGAACUUAA
rnacentral:misc_RNA from 1 species